rnacentral:rRNA from 1 species
CCUACGGGUGGCAGCAGUGAGGAAUAUUGGUCAAUGGACGAGAGUCUGAACCAGCCACGUAGCGUGAAGGAUGACUGCCCUAGGAGUUGUAAACUUCUUUUAUAUGGGAGUAAAAUGUUCCACGUGUGGGAUUUUGUAUGUACCAUAUGAAUAAGGAUCGGCUAACUCCGUGCCAGCAGCGGCGGUAAUACGGAGGCUCCGAGCGUUAUCCGGGUUUAUUGGGUGUAAAGGGAGCGUAGGUGGAUUGUUAAGUCAGUUGUGAAAGUUUGCUGCUCAACCGUAAAAUUGCAGUUGAAACUGGCAGUCUUGAGUACAGUAGAGGUGGGCGGAAUUCGUGGUGUAGCGGUAAAAUGCUUAGAGAUCACGAAGAACUCCGAUUGCGAAGGCAGCUCACUGGACUGCAACUGACACUGAGGCUCGAAAGUGUGGGUAGCAAACAGGAUUAGAUACCCGGGUAGUC